AUGUUUUCUUAGAAAUUGUGAUAUAAGCCUCAGCAAUAAAUCAGUUAAUGGUUUCCUUGAAAUGCAGGAAGAAAACAGGCAAUCAGCUGACCCAUCAGCGAACUCUGUUAUGCAAUGUGUUCUACACUUUCCAUUUUGAUAACCAGUUAUUACAAAGUGGGGGAAGCGGACUAGAAUAACUAAUGCAAAAUAUGAUAGCUUAGAGACUUUCCAGGGAUUUUUUUCUUUCAUUAAUUUUUUUAAAAAAUGUUGCCAGUCCAUAUGGAUUUGUCAAAUAGACUGAAGAUUCUUGUGCAGUUUCCUCAAGGACAGUGGCUUUAAAAAGAACUCAGGGGGUUGUAUCCAAUUCUAGUAAACUCAUAGAAGCUAAUAGACAAAACUUACAAAGGUAAGGACUUGUGUUGGAUACAGCUCAGGAAAGCCAAGCAAGCAUUUUAGCACUAUACAGGGAAGCAGGCUUAAUUUUAAAUGACGUAAGGCACUGUCAGAGCUGUUUGUCCACCUUUGAUCCCCAUUCUGCACUCAGCUCUCACUUGUGGCUCCUAGAAGCUGUCAGCAUGCAACAGUGGCCACACCUUGGGAAGAGCUUCGACUGGCCGGCUAAACCAGGUGAGGGUAGACGAUGAGUCUCAAGUCCUCUGUUAAUUAGGGACUUGCCCUGCAGGUGAAGACAGGCACUAGCAGAUUGGAUGAGACCAAGAGUGGGUCCAACUGUCAAGAAGGCAAUUUCUGCACAUGCUGUGAAUGAUAUAAUUCCAACACAAAAAGCUAUGGUUGGACCGUAAAGAAGGCUGAUCGCCGAAGAAUUGAUGCUUUUGAAUUAUGGUGCUGGAGGAGACUCUUGAGAGUCCCAUGGACUGCAAGAAGAUCAAACCUAUCCAUUCUGAAGGAAAUCAGCCCUGAGUGCUCACUGGAAGGACAGAUCCUGAAGCUGAGACUCCAAUACUUUGGCCACCUCAUGAGAAGAGAAGACUCCCUAGAAAAGACCCUGAUGUUGGUAAAGAUGGAGGGCACAAGGAGAAGGGGACGACAGAGGACGAGAUGGUUGGAUAGUGUUCUCGAAGCUACCAGCAUGAGUUUGACUAAACUGCGGGAGGCAGUGGAAGACAGAAGUGCCUGGCGUGCUCUGGUCCAUGGGGUCACGAAGAGUCAGACACGACUAAACAACAAUAACAAUUCCAACACACUGAUCUACUGCCAUCAUAUCAAAUUUCUGUGCCAUGGAAUGCUUGAAAACUUACUUUGGAGUCAAUGUGUACAGGACUAGUCUUCACACCCUGCCUCCCUACUGUACAACUAGAAGGGAAACUUGAGACAACUCACUUGUAUCACGUUGGAAUGCUGAAAUAAAUUGAGAUGCUAAUGUUCUGUCUCAGAAUUGAAGCAGUCAAUAGAAAUGAGCCACCAGGUACAAACAAAGGAGAGAAGAGCCAAGCUGUCAGCAGUGCGAGAGAACUUUGUACUUCUGGCUAUCUUUUAACAGAUUCCAGUUGUGUCCACAUAUGGAAUAUUCUGCAGGACAUUUAAAUCAAACUGUUAUAUGUACUUGUGUGCCUUGUUUCUCUUUCUUUCCCUGCCUCCUUCCCCCUCCACGUCUUAGAGUUGAACUUGAUGCUGGUUUUAUUGGUCAUGUGUUUUAUGUGUUGGGGG